CUUCGUUCAUCUCCGUCGAUGGCGGAGGAAAGGUCGACCUUCAAGCCAUCCGUGAAAUAAUCACAUCUCAGAUUGUGUUAAACAAGUUUAACGAGCAUCAGGUUCCAUUGGCUAGACAAUUUAUUGCUAAACAUGCUCCACACCUCCUUCAUUGACCAAAAUUCACAUCUUCUUCUAGCAGUAAAAGAUGAAAAUCCACCAAAGUAUUACCAAGGCAAGAACACAGCAGCAACUAUCCAGGAAAUGCUUCUCCUACAAGGCAAGAAGAGGCACAUAACAUUUGGGAAUGAAAGCAUG